AUUGCCUCUCGAAUAACCAGAUGGUUAAGACUAUGAUACGACGCCGUUUGGUUCAGACAGGGGCUUACAUCAAAACUCGAAACAAUUUGUAACUAAGGAAUGGUUUUCUUCCCUUCCUUUUCCCUAUUGUCCUCGAAUAUUC